UCGCGGCGCGCGGCGGAGAAGGAGCGCACGCCGAGCACGCGGGAUGUCGGGAGGCUCCGGCUACGUUAGCUGGCAGGAGGAGCUCCGUGUUUAUGUGCGUCCGUGUAUAUUCAUGUAUAACUAGAACAGGCAGAGUGUACCGAGCUCGCGUUGGGAGCUUUAACCGACAUGGACAUGCUGAUGCUGAUGGCCCGCGAGCCAGGCUGGCGGUGGCGCGCGGUCAUUAGCUUUAGCUAAGAUAAGCUAAGCCAGCGUUCUCUAACCGGCCUCGUGUCCUGGCCGUGGUCGGAAGGGCGCAUGUUUUAAUCGGCUCCGUCUGGACGGUGUUUAACGGCAGACGUGACCGCCCUGUUGAGGCCGGAGAAGUGAAAACGUGACCUGUUGGCACGGAGAGCCUCGCACCAAACCGGGUGCCAGGGACAGUGGACGGCGGAGAGCACCUGACCAGUCACGUAGACCCAUGGCGUCGGAAGCACCCGGGUGCUGCUCCUGGGAACUGACGAGCUGCUCAGCGUGGACGGAGGCGCUGGGGUCCAGGCUGGAGCUUUUCUAUAACUUUACUGCUUAUCUUUCUACCACUGUAGAAAAUGAGACACAUUCAUGGAUGUUCGCUAAGAGAAGAGGCCGGCCAGUGAGUGAAGACCCCUGAAUCAGUAGCGUAUCUCGGCCUGCAGCUCUAGGGUCUCAUCUCAGGGUUUAUAGUCUCUGUGAUCAGGCUGUGCUUGAAAUGAAACUAAUCUUUACUUAUGUUUGUUAAUGUCUGCUUAAUAAACUAUGUUAGUAACUUUGGCUGUAUGUUUGAAUAUUUCAAUCUUCUAAAGAUGCCUGAGGAAAUGGCACAAGACUUGCGCAGAAUGCUCUGUCCAGCCCGGCUCGAUGCAGCCCGGUUAGGGUUGUUUUUGACCGCGUCCGUGUCGUGCUGUCGUCUUGAGAGAGAUGGCUGCGGGUUUCAGAGAUGGCGUUCGGUUGCUCAUCAUUUGGCUGUGUGAGCUGAGAGCUUGAGGACACCAGAGCUUAAUCCUUAUUGGCUGGAAUCUGCAGACAAACGCAAACCCACAAACUAGUUAAUACGAGAUGGGCGUCAUGA